CUGAAGGGUCGUUCGAGACCAGGACGUUGAUAGGUCGGGUGUGGAAGCGCAGUAAUGCGUUAAGCUAACCGAUACUAAUUGCCCGUGAGGCUUGAUCCUAUAACACUGAUGGUUAUG
rnacentral:rRNA from 2 species